rnacentral:rRNA from 1 species
UGCCAGCAGCCGCGGUAAUACGUAGGGUGCGAGCGUUGUCCGGAAUUAUUGGGCGUAAAGGGCUCGUAGGCGGUUUGUCGCGUCGGGAGUGAAAACCCAGGGCUUAACCCUGGGCUGGCUUCCGAUACGGGCAGACUAGAGGUAUGCAGGGGAGAACGGAAUUCCUGGUGUAGCGGUGAAAUGCGCAGAUAUCAGGAGGAACACCGGUGGCGAAGGCGGUUCUCUGGGCAUUACCUGACGCUGAGGAGCGAAAGUGUGGGGAGCGAACAGGAUUAGAUACCCUGGUAGUCCACACCGUAAACGUUGGGCGCUAGGUGUGGGGUCCAUUCCACGGAUUCCGUGCCGCAGCUAACGCAUUAAGCGCCCCGCCUGGGGAGUACGGCCGCAAGGCUAAAACUCAAAGGAAUUGACGGGGGCCCGCACAAGU